rnacentral:rRNA from 1 species
GGACUACCCGGGUAUCUAAUCCUUUUUGCUCCCCACGCUUUCGUGCCUGAGCGUCAGCAAUUGUCCAGGUAGCCGCCUUCGCCCCUGGUAUUCCUCACGAUAUCUACGCACUUCACUGCUACACCGUGAAUUCUGCUACCCUCUCCAAUGCUCUAGCCAUGUAGUUUUAGGUGCAAUUCCGGGGUUGAGCCCCGGGCUUUCACGCCUAACACACUUGGCCGCCUGCGCACCCUUUACGCCCAGUGAAUCCGAAUAACGCUUGCAGUCUCUGUAUUACCGCGGCUGCUGGCAC